CUUCUUCAUCCUUUGUUCUUCACCUUUACUUCUUCAUCAUAGGUACAGUUUCUUCAAUCACAGGUAUUAUCUCUCUCACUCAACAUUCUUUAUCAUCACAUUUUGGGUAUGUAUGUUAUUUUUGUGUUAUUGAGAACAUUUUUAGUAGAUAAAAAAUAUUUGUUGUUUUUGUAGUAACUUUUACUAAAAAGAUAACAUUUUUAUCUGAAAAGUUAAUAUUUUUUGGGUAUUUUUACUCUAUUAACCUUAUUUUUUACUUUUUUUAGUUCAAGAUAGUAAUUUUGGUAUCAAGUUUAUGCGUGUUGUUGAUAAUAAAUUUAGUGGGUCAAACUUAUUUGUAAUUUUUUAAAAAUAUUCACAGAAAGAUAACGUUUUACCCAAAAAGUUAACAUUUUUUGGGUAUUUUUGCUCCAUGAAGCUUAUUUCAUGCUUUUUGAGUUCAAGAUAAUAAUUUUGUUAUGAUUUCUCAUUAUAACUUAUUUGGAACUUCUUUAUGUUAUAGGGUAUGCAUGUUUUUUUAGUCUUUUAUAUCUCACAAUGAAUUUAUUUUUGUCAUUUUUACUAUAUUAAUUUUUUUGCUUGCUUUUUCAGUUCAACAUUACUAACUAGAUCAUUACCUGUUAUCUUCAAUGAAAAGGGAUCAAUUGUUUUUUUACCACAAACAUCAUUACCUGUUGAUUUUGAAGGUCACUAGCUUGGCUUAAGUCCUAUUGUGUCUAUGUAUGUUUCAUGUUGUUCUAUCUUUCCUCUUUAGACAUUGUUCUUUCUUUGUGUAAGUUUUGACUUAUAUUAAAAUAUUUAUAAUAUAUACUCUUUGUUUUCUUUAAUAGAUAGUAGAUUUUCUUUUUGGAGGUAUAGUUGCAUGGACAGGUUGAUAGUUGUUAUUUCCGGAUGUAGCAUCAUCAAGAUUCACAUACAAAUGUAGGUAGGUGAUAAUAUUCAUGCUUUAGUAAGUAAAGAUCAUCAUUGUCAAACAUGAUUCUAAGAUGCUGACAUAGACACUAGAUAAAAAGUAUCCAAAUUACCCAAUUUCAACUUUGCUUUGAAUUAUUGAAGUGCGAGGAACUUGAGUAGACAUUCAACAUAGGAAUGACAGAAACAAGUGUGAUAGUGAAUACUAUGUCUCUAAACACCAUGCAAUAUGUAUUGAUUUAAGAUGAAAAAGGUGGAAAAAAAGUUUCAUUUGAUUCUCUUGCAGCAGUGUCCCAAGGCAUGCAACAUUUUCUUACUAAAUAUUCUUUAAUAGUUUAAUUGCUCUCCUUUAAUUACUAUGUCCUAUUCAACAAACACAAUAUGACACCUAGAUGGAAAACUUGACUCCACUUUGUGGACAAAGUGUUUUGUAGAUAAUUUCUGGUUUAAAAUUAGUCUCAUUGGAGUCAAUUAUAUUCAGCAGGAAAGCCAACUUUAUUUUAUUCAUGAUUCAAACAUUCUGUGAAUCCUCACUUUUGAAGAUUUACUUGAAAGGUAAAUUUGUUUUGAAGCAACUUUUGAAAUUUUUAUUUGAAUGAUUGUUAUAGAACAAUGGAUUGCAAUGUCUAACAACUGAAACUAUUACAUUGUGCAUUUUUAUCAAUCAAGCUUACUUUGUGCAUUUUUAGUUAGACAUUACAUUUUAAUUAUCUAAGUCACUGAACUUUAUUUACUACAUUUCUAUGAGUCCUUUUUCGUGUACAUAUAUCCCAAGUUUCUAUCUUUUCAUCUAACUUUCACUCAUGAUGUUACUUUUUUUCUUAUUCUUCUUUAGUAUUAAGGUUUAGAAGCAAAAGAAGAGUUACAAAGUGUUAUACAUAGAAGCUCAAGAAACAUAGGAGAUAAAUCACCUACCAAUAGACCAACUUCAAUGGGUGCAUCAAAGAGCAAGAAAAUUUGUAUUUUUGAAAUUGAAGAAGUAGUAGUCCAUCCUCCAGUCGUCACACGCCAGAGCUAUCAUUACUGGCACUAUCACCGAGCCAUCACAACACUCAGGUUAGUCAUUUUGAUAUAACUAUCUUAUCAUUUUAGAAAAAUGAUUUAUCACUUUUAAAAUCAACCCAUAUCAUCACUGGCACUUUUCACUGGAAGGUGUGAAAAGAAGAUAUAUGUAUAAAUAUUUCAAUAAUUUAACUUGCUUCAACUUUGCAUGCAUCUCUAUAAUUCAUUAUGGUGGCAAUUGCUGUUACUGUUUCGUUUUUCCCUUUAUAUGUCCCAUAAUUUGUUUUUUAUUACUCAUUUUGUUAUAAUUAUCUUAUCAUUUUAGAUAAAAAUGAUUUAUCUCUUAUAAAAUCAACUCAUAACUUUAAAAGAUAACAAAUUAUGUUUUUGUUUGUUCUAUUAUCAUUUUGUCAUUCUAUUUACUAGAAGAAUAUUUCUCAUUUGUAUUUUUAGAUUAUAUUACUAGGAAAGGCAUAUAGCAUAAAAAAACCAAAACAAAAAUAGGAGUCAAUAACAAUAGUGUAUGGUAAAAUUUUCACUUUAGUGAUGUCUAGAAUCCUGCAAAAUAAAUAGUUUGAGAUACCAUUCAUAUAUUAGACACACAUAACUUAGACAAUUGUUAUUUAUGAGGAUAUUUUGGUCUUUUUGAUAUAUUAUUUCUCUGAUACAUUUUAAAUAGUGUUUCAUUUAUAGUAACUAUAGUUCUUCUAUUUCAUUAUUAAGUGUCACCAUUAUUUUUAAAAUUCCAGCAUGUCACAGAUUGUGACAUAUCUUUUAGGCUUCAAUCACAUGAACAAUGAAUUUUUCACUUCUCUUUGUAAUAUCUUUCUUCUAUUAUCUAAAGUAUAAAUAUGGUUUUGCUUCCUUAUGUAUGUUACUGCAUGAUGGUAUUAGUAUUUCUAAACUUACCAAACAAAAUUAGUUUAGUUUGUUUGAGUUUAUUUAGUUUGAAUAUGCACUUUCAAUUUUUAUUUUGUUAGGUGAUCUAAAUUUAGUAAAUGUUUAUUAUAAACUUUGGUCGAGAGAUUAUAAUAUGUGAGAUUAUAAAUAUAAAAAAAAUCAACCAAGUAAUCUUAAAUACAUUGUUUUUGUUUAUUUGUCUUGAUUUAUAUGUCUUUUUAUAAAAUAAUAUGAUUACCCAAUUUAUUAUAAUCAAAUGUUAUUUGUCUUAAAUACAUUGUUAUUGUUCUAUAUCGAAAAUUGUUAUAAUAAUAAUAGAAAUAACACUUUGACAUAAGAGAAAGGAAAAAUCUCAAGUCAAUGAAAUUUAUUCAUUUGGUAUGCAGUUUGUCAUUUUGAAUAUCAAAUGUGUUUAGUUUGGAUUUCAAUUAUUAAAUAAAGCUAACUAGAAUAUUUUAUCAAAACUUAUGUGUUCAUAUUUGUCUUAUUUUUGCAGGUCAUUUUUAGACCUCUAGAUUAGCUACAAUAGUGAAGUGAAUGGAGUUAUGAGAAAAACAACUACUCAUGACAUAGAACUAAAUGAUGGGUUUUACUUUUUCUGAGGGCUAUUCAUGAGUCCACCCUAUAGUAUUUAGUUUAUGGAUUCAAGAAGCUGUUUUUAAAUUUUUGGCUUCAUUCAGUCACUUCUAUGAC
rnacentral:lncRNA from 1 species